rnacentral:rRNA from 1 species
AGCGUACACGGUGGAUGCCCUGGCAGUCAGAGGCGAUGAAGGACGUGCUAAUCUGCGAUAAGCGUCGGUAAGGUGAUAUGAACCGUUAUAACCGGCGAUUUCCGAAUGGGGAAACCCAGUGUGUUUCGACACACUAUCAUUAACUGAAUCCAUAGGUUAAUGAGGCGAACCGGGGGAACUGAAACAUCUAAGUACCCCGAGGAAAAGAAAUCAACCGAGAUUCCCCCAGUAGCGGCGAGCGAACGGGGAGCAGCCCAGAGCCUGAAUCAGUAUGUGUGUUAGUGGAAGCGUCUGGAAAGGCGCGCGAUACAGGGUGACAGCCCCGUACACAAAAAUGCACAUGCUGUGAGCUCGAUGAGUAGGGCGGGACACGUGGUAUCCUGUCUGAAUAUGGGGGGACCAUCCUCCAAGGCUAAAUACUCCUGACUGACCGAUAGUGAACCAGUACCGUGAGGGAAAGGCGAAAAGAACCCCGGCGAGGGGAGUGAAAAAGAACCUGAAACCGUGUACGUACAAGCAGUGGGAGCUCGCUUAGGCGUGUGACUGCGUACCUUUUGUAUAAUGGGUCAGCGACUUAUAUUCUGUAGCAAGGUUAACCGAAUAGGGGAGCCGAAGGGAAACCGAGUCUUAACUGGGCGUUAAGUUGCAGGGUAUAGACCCGAAACCCGGUGAUCUAGCCAUGGGCAGGUUGAAGGUUGGGUAACACUAACUGGAGGACCGAACCGACUAAUGUUGAAAAAUUAGCGGAUGACUUGUGGCUGGGGGUGAAAGGCCAAUCAAACCGGGAGAUAGCUGGUUCUCCCCGAAAGCUAUUUAGGUAGCGCCUCGUGAAUUCAUCUCCGGGGGUAGAGCACUGUUUCGGCAAGGGGGUCAUCCCGACUUACCAACCCGAUGCAAACUGCGAAUACCGGAGAAUGUUAUCACGGGAGACACACGGCGGGUGCUAACGUCCGUCGUGAAGAGGGAAACAACCCAGACCGCCAGCUAAGGUCCCAAAGUCAUGGUUAAGUGGGAAACGAUGUGGGAAGGCCCAGACAGCCAGGAUGUUGGCUUAGAAGCAGCCAUCAUUUAAAGAAAGCGUAAUAGCUCACUGGUCGAGUCGGCCUGCGCGGAAGAUGUAACGGGGCUAAACCAUGCACCGAAGCUGCGGCAGCGACGCUUAUGCGUUGUUGGGUAGGGGAGCGUUCUGUAAGCCUGCGAAGGUGUGCUGUGAGGCAUGCUGGAGGUAUCAGAAGUGCGAAUGCUGACAUAAGUAACGAUAAAGCGGGUGAAAAGCCCGCUCGCCGGAAGACCAAGGGUUCCUGUCCAACGUUAAUCGGGGCAGGGUGAGUCGACCCCUAAGGCGAGGCCGAAAGGCGUAGUCGAUGGGAAACAGGUUAAUAUUCCUGUACUUGGUGUUACUGCGAAGGGGGGACGGAGAAGGCUAUGUUGGCCGGGCGACGGUUGUCCCGGUUUAAGCGUGUAGGCUGGUUUUCCAGGCAAAUCCGGAAAAUCAAGGCUGAGGCGUGAUGACGAGGCACUACGGUGCUGAAGCAACAAAUGCCCUGCUUCCAGGAAAAGCCUCUAAGCAUCAGGUAACAUCAAAUCGUACCCCAAACCGACACAGGUGGUCAGGUAGAGAAUACCAAGGCGCUUGAGAGAACUCGGGUGAAGGAACUAGGCAAAAUGGUGCCGUAACUUCGGGAGAAGGCACGCUGAUAUGUAGGUGAAGUCCCUCGCGGAUGGAGCUGAAAUCAGUCGAAGAUACCAGCUGGCUGCAACUGUUUAUUAAAAACACAGCACUGUGCAAACACGAAAGUGGACGUAUACGGUGUGACGCCUGCCCGGUGCCGGAAGGUUAAUUGAUGGGGUUAGCGCAAGCGAAGCUCUUGAUCGAAGCCCCGGUAAACGGCGGCCGUAACUAUAACGGUCCUAAGGUAGCGAAAUUCCUUGUCGGGUAAGUUCCGACCUGCACGAAUGGCGUAAUGAUGGCCAGGCUGUCUCCACCCGAGACUCAGUGAAAUUGAACUCGCUGUGAAGAUGCAGUGUACCCGCGGCAAGACGGAAAGACCCCGUGAACCUUUACUAUAGCUUGACACUGAACAUUGAGCCUUGAUGUGUAGGAUAGGUGGGAGGCUUGGAAGUGUGGACGCCAGUCUGCAUGGAGCCGACCUUGAAAUACCACCCUUUAAUGUUUGAUGUUCUAACGUUGACCCGUAAUCCGGGUUGCGGACAGUGUCUGGUGGGUAGUUUGACUGGGGCGGUCUCCUCCUAAAGAGUAACGGAGGAGCACGAAGGUUGGCUAAUCCUGGUCGGACAUCAGGAGGUUAGUGCAAUGGCAUAAGCCAGCUUGACUGCGAGCGUGACGGCGCGAGCAGGUGCGAAAGCAGGUCAUAGUGAUCCGGUGGUUCUGAAUGGAAGGGCCAUCGCUCAACGGAUAAAAGGUACUCCGGGGAUAACAGGCUGAUACCGCCCAAGAGUUCAUAUCGACGGCGGUGUUUGGCACCUCGAUGUCGGCUCAUCACAUCCUGGGGCUGAAGUAGGUCCCAAGGGUAUGGCUGUUCGCCAUUUAAAGUGGUACGCGAGCUGGGUUUAGAACGUCGUGAGACAGUUCGGUCCCUAUCUGCCGUGGGCGCUGGAGAACUGAGGGGGGCUGCUCCUAGUACGAGAGGACCGGAGUGGACGCAUCACUGGUGUUCGGGUUGUCAUGCCAAUGGCACUGCCCGGUAGCUAAAUGCGGAAGAGAUAAGUGCUGAAAGCAUCUAAGCACGAAACUUGCCCCGAGAUGAGUUCUCCCUGACUCCUUGA